rnacentral:rRNA from 1 species
UACGUAGGGCGCAAGCGUUGUCCGGAAUUAUUGGGCGUAAAGAGCUCGUAGGCGGUCUGUUACGUCUGCUGUGAAAACCCAGGGCUUAACCCUGGGCUUGCAGUGGAUACGGGCAGACUAGAGGCAGGUAGGGGAGAAUGGAAUUCCCGGUGUAGCGGUGAAAUGCGCAGAUAUCGGGAGGAACACCGGUGGCGAAGGCGGUUCUCUGGGCCUGACCUGACGCUGAGGAGCGAAAGCGUGGGGAGCGAGCAGG